AAAUGUUUUCAUCAAACCCAUACGUGUGGGGUAUCUAUAUGGUGGAUAGGUCUUCAAAAAUGAUAUUGAGGUUUCUAAUAUCAUUUUUUUCUAAACUGAAUAGUUUGCGCGAGAGACACUUCCAAAGUGGCAAAAUGUGUGUCCCCCCCCCCCCCUGUAACUUCUAAAAUAAGAGAAUGAUAAAACUAAAAAAAAUAUAUGAUAUACAUUACCAUGCAAACUUCCACCGAAAAUUGGUUUGAACGAGAUCUAGUAAGUCGUUUUUUAUUAAUACAUAGAACUGAAACUCAAAAAAUUUUUUUUCAUCAAACCCAUACGUGUGGGGUAUCUAUGGAUAGGUCUUCAAAAAUGAUAUUGAGGUUUCUAACAUCAUUUUUUUCUAAACUGAAUAGUUUGCGCGAGAGACACUUCCGAAG